rnacentral:rRNA from 1 species
GAUAACGCUAGCUACAGGCUUAACACAUGCAAGUCGAGGGGCAGCAUGAACUUAGCUUGCUAAGUUUGAUGGCGACCGGCGCACGGGUGAGUAACACGUAUCCAACCUGCCGAUGACUCGGGGAUAGCCUUUCGAAAGAAAGAUUAAUGCCCGAUGGCAUAGUUCUUCCGCAUGGUAGAACUAUUAAAGAAUUUCGGUCAUCGAUGGGGAUGCGUUCCAUUAGGUUGUUGGCGGGGUAACGGCCCACCAAGCCUUCGAUGGAUAGGAGUUCUGAGAGGAAGGUCCCCCACAUUGGAACUGAGACACGGUCCAAACUCCUACGGGAGGCAGCAGUGAGGAAUAUUGGUCAAUGGACGAGAGUCUGAACCAGCCAAGUAGCGUGAAGGAUGACUGCCCUAUGGGUUGUAAACUUCUUUUAUACGGGAAUAAAGUGAGGCACGUGUGCCUUUUUGUAUGUACCGUAUGAAUAAGGAUCGGCUAACUCCGUGCCAGCAGCCGCGGUAAUACGGAGGAUCCGAGCGUUAUCCGGAUUUAUUGGGUUUAAAGGGAGCGUAGGCGGACGCUUAAGUCAGUUGUGAAAGUUUGCGGCUCAACCGUAAAAUUGCAGUUGAUACUGGGUGUCUUGAGUACAGUAGAGGCAGGCGGAAUUCGUGGUGUAGCGGUGAAAUGCUUAGAUAUCACGAAGAACUCCGAUUG